rnacentral:rRNA from 3 species
UCAAGUGAAGAAGCGCAUACGGUGGAUGCCUUGGCAGUCAGAGGCGAUGAAAGACGUGGUAGCCUGCGAAAAGCUUCGGGGAGUCGGCAAACAGACUUUGAUCCGGAGAUGUCUGAAUGGGGGAACCCAGCCAUCAUAAGAUGGUUAUCUUACGCUGAAUACAUAGGCGUAAGAGGCGAACCAGGGGAACUGAAACAUCUAAGUACCCUGAGGAAAAGAAAUCAACCGAGAUUCCCUUAGUAGUGGCGAGCGAACGGGGACUAGCCCUUAAGUGGCUUUGAGAUUAGCGGAACGCUCUGGAAAGUGCGGCCAUAGUGGGUGAUAGCCCUGUACGCGAAAAUCUCUUAGUCAUGAAAUCGAGUAGGACGGAGCACGAGAAACUUUGUCUGAAUAUGGGGGGACCAUCCUCCAAGGCUAAAUACUACUGACUGACCGAUAGUGAACUAGUACCGUGAGGGAAAGGCGAAAAGAACCCCGGAGAGGGGAGUGAAAUAGAUCCUGAAACCGUAUGCGUACAAGCAGUGGGAGCCCACUUUGUUGGGUGACUGCGUACCUUUUGUAUAAUGGGUCAGCGACUUAUUUUCAGUGGCGAGCUUAACCGAAUAGGGGAGGCGUAGCGAAAGCGAGUCUUAAUAGGGCGUCUAGUCGCUGGGAAUAGACCCGAAACCGGGCGAUCUAUCCAUGGGCAGGUUGAAGGUUGGGUAACACUAACUGGAGGACCGAACCGACUACCGUUGAAAAGUUAGCGGAUGACCUGUGGAUCGGAGUGAAAGGCUAAUCAAGCUCGGAGAUAGCUGGUUCUCCUCGAAAGCUAUUUAGGUAGCGCCUCAUGUAUCACUGUAGGGGGUAGAGCACUGUUUCGGCUAGGGGGUCAUCCCGACUUACCAAACCGAUGCAAACUCCGAAUACCUACAAGUGCCGAGCAUGGGAGACACACGGCGGGUGCUAACGUCCGUCGUGAAAAGGGAAACAACCCAGACCGUCAGCUAAGGUCCCAAAGUUAUGGUUAAGUGGGAAACGAUGUGGGAAGGCUUAGACAGCUAGGAGGUUGGCUUAGAAGCAGCCACCCUUUAAAGAAAGCGUAAUAGCUCACUAGUCGAGUCGGCCUGCGCGGAAGAUGUAACGGGGCUCAAACCAUACACCGAAGCUACGGGUAUCACGUAAGUGAUGCGGUAGAGGAGCGUUCUGUAAGCCUGUGAAGGUGAGUUGAGAAGCUUGCUGGAGGUAUCAGAAGUGCGAAUGCUGACAUGAGUAACGACAAUGGGUGUGAAAAACACCCACGCCGAAAGACCAAGGUUUCCUGCGCAACGUUAAUCGACGCAGGGUUAGUCGGUCCCUAAGGCGAGGCUGAAAAGCGUAGUCGAUGGAAAACAGGUUAAUAUUCCUGUACUUCUGGUUAUUGCGAUGGAGGGACGGAGAAGGCUAGGCCAGCUUGGCGUUGGUUGUCCAAGUUUAAGGUGGUAGGCUGGAAUCUUAGGUAAAUCCGGGAUUCUAAGGCCGAGAGCUGAUGACGAGUCGUCUUUUAGACGACGAAGUGGUUGAUGCCAUGCUUCCAAGAAAAGCUUCUAAGCUUCAGGUAACCAGGAACCGUACCCCAAACCGACACAGGUGGUUGGGUAGAGAAUACCAAGGCGCUUGAGAGAACUCGGGUGAAGGAACUAGGCAAAAUGGCACCGUAACUUCGGGAGAAGGUGCGCCGGUGAGGGUGAAGGACUUGCUCCGUAAGCUCAUGCCGGUCGAAGAUACCAGGCCGCUGCGACUGUUUAUUAAAAACACAGCACUCUGCAAACACGAAAGUGGACGUAUAGGGUGUGACGCCUGCCCGGUGCCGGAAGGUUAAUUGAUGGGGUUAGCUAACGCGAAGCUCUUGAUCGAAGCCCCGGUAAACGGCGGCCGUAACUAUAACGGUCCUAAGGUAGCGAAAUUCCUUGUCGGGUAAGUUCCGACCUGCACGAAUGGCGUAACGAUGGCGGCGCUGUCUCCACCCGAGACUCAGUGAAAUUGAAAUCGCUGUGAAGAUGCAGUGUAUCCGCGGCUAGACGGAAAGACCCCGUGAACCUUUACUAUAGCUUUGCACUGGACUUUGAAUUUGCUUGUGUAGGAUAGGUGGGAGGCUUUGAAGCGUGGACGCCAGUCUGCGUGGAGCCAACCUUGAAAUACCACCCUGGCAACUUUGAGGUUCUAACUCAGGUCCGUUAUCCGGAUCGAGGACAGUGUAUGGUGGGUAGUUUGACUGGGGCGGUCUCCUCCUAAAGAGUAACGGAGGAGUACGAAGGUGCGCUCAGACCGGUCGGAAAUCGGUCGUAGAGUAUAAAGGCAAAAGCGCGCUUGACUGCGAGACAGACACGUCGAGCAGGUACGAAAGUAGGUCUUAGUGAUCCGGUGGUUCUGUAUGGAAGGGCCAUCGCUCAACGGAUAAAAGGUACUCCGGGGAUAACAGGCUGAUACCGCCCAAGAGUUCAUAUCGACGGCGGUGUUUGGCACCUCGAUGUCGGCUCAUCACAUCCUGGGGCUGAAGCCGGUCCCAAGGGUAUGGCUGUUCGCCAUUUAAAGUGGUACGCGAGCUGGGUUUAGAACGUCGUGAGACAGUUCGGUCCCUAUCUGCCGUGGACGUUUGAGAUUUGAGAGGGGCUGCUCCUAGUACGAGAGGACCGGAGUGGACGAACCUCUGGUGUUCCGGUUGUCACGCCAGUGGCAUUGCCGGGUAGCUAUGUUCGGAAUAGAUAACCGCUGAAAGCAUCUAAGCGGGAAACUAGCCUCAAGAUGAGAUCUCACUGGAACCUUGAGUUCCCUGAAGGGCCGUCGAAGACUACGACGUUGAUAGGUUGGGUGUGUAAGCGCUGUGAGGCGUUGAGCUAACCAAUACUAAUUGCCCGUGAGGCUUGAC